UACGAAGGGGGCUAGCGUUGCUCGGAAUCACUGGGCGUAAAGCGCACGUAGGCGGGCCCUUAAGUCAGGGGUGAAAUCCUGGAGCUCAACUCCAGAACUGCCUUUGAUACUGAGGAUCUCGAGUUCGGGAGAGGUGAGUGGAACUGCGAGUGUAGAGGUGAAAUUCGUAGAUAUUCGCAAGAACACCAGUGGCGAAGGCGGCUCGCUGGCCCGAUACUGACGCUGAGGUGCGAAAGCGUGGGGAGCAAACAGG
rnacentral:rRNA from 1 species